rnacentral:rRNA from 1 species
GGGGCUAAUUCUCGAUAGGUGAAGAACUCUGGAAUGAGUCUUUGCCAAAAAGACGUUUACGUUAUGCUCGUAGGCGUCGCCCAAGGAUGAGGCCGCGACCGAUCAGGUUGUUGGUGAGGUAAUGGCUCACCAAGCCUUUUACCGGUGCGGGCCGUGAGAGCGGGAGCCCGGAGAUGGGCACUGAGACAAGGGCCCAGGCCCUACGGGGCGCAGCAGUCGCGAAAACUUUGCAAUACACGAAAGUGUGACAGGGCUAUCCCGAGUGCCAUCCGCUGAGGAAGGCUUUUACCCAGUCUAGAACGCUGGGGGAAUAAGGAGAGGGCAAGUCUGGUGUCAGCCGCCGCGGUAAUACCAGCUCUCCGAGUGGUGUGGAUGUUUAUUGGGCCUAAAGCAUCCGUAGCUGGCUGAGUUAGUCCCUUGUUAAAUCCACCGAAUUAAUCGUUGGAUUGCGGGGGAUACUGCUCGGCUAGGGGACGAGAGAGGCAGACGGUAUUUCCGGGGUAGGGGUGAAAUCCUAUAAUCCCGGGAAGACCACCAGUGGCGAAGGCUGUCUGCUAGAACGCGCCCGACGGUGAGGGAUGAAAGCUGGGGGAGCGAACCGGAUUAGAUACCCGGGUAGUCCCAGCUGUAAACGAUGCAGGCUAGGUGUUUGGACGGCCACGUGCCGUUCUAGUGCCGCAGGGAAGCUGU